rnacentral:piRNA from 1 species
UGGAUUAACCGUGCCUCUGAGGAUGUGA